rnacentral:rRNA from 1 species
AUUGAACGCUGGCGGCAUGCCUUACACAUGCAAGUCGAACGGCAGCACGGGAGCUUGCUCCUGGUGGCGAGUGGCGAACGGGUGAGUAAUACAUCGGAACGUACCCUGAAGUGGGGGAUAACGUAGCGAAAGUUACGCUAAUACCGCAUAUUCUGUGAGCAGGAAAGAGGGGGAUCGCAAGACCUCUUGCUUUAGGAGCGGCCGAUGUCGGAUUAGCUAGUUGGUGAGGUAAAGGCUCACCAAGGCGACGAUCCGUAGCGGGUCUGAGAGGAUGAUCCGCACACUGGGACUGAGACACGGCCCAGACUCCUACGGGAGGCAGCAGUGGGGAAUUUUGGACAAUGGGCGCAAGCCUGAUCCAGCCAUGCCGCGUGAGUGAAGAAGGCCUUC